GAGAGUUUAGAGAGGAUGAUGGGAUGUUAAGGGGAAGGAGAGGUUAGAGAGGAUGAUGGGAUGUUAAUGGGAAAGAGAGGUUAGAGAGGAUGAGGGGAUGUUAAGAGUGAAGAGGAAGGAGAGGUUAGAGAGGAUGCGGGGAUGUUAAGGGGAAGGAGAGGUUAGAGAGGAUGAUGGGAUGUUAAGGGGAUUGAUAGAUUAGAGAGGAUGAUGGGAUGUUAAGGGGAAGGAGAGGUUAGAGAGGAUGAGGGGAUGUUAAGGGGAAGGAGAGGUUAGAGAGGAUGAGGGGAUGUUAAGGGGAAAUAGAUUAUGAGGGGAUGUUAAGAGUGAAGAGGAAGGAGAGGUUAGAGAGGAUGAUGGUAUGUUAAUGGGAAGGAGAGGUUAGAGAGGAUGAUGGGAUGUUAAGGGGAAGGAGAGGUUAGAGAGAAUGAUGGGAUGUUAAGGGGAAAGAGAGUUUAGAGAGGAUGAUGGGAUGUUAAGGGGAAGGAGAGGUUAGAGAGGAUGAUGGGAUGUUAAGGGGAAAGAGAGGUUAG
ensembl:lncRNA